AGAGUUUGAUCCUGGCUCAGAGCGAAGNNNGNNGGCAUUAACACAUGCAAGUCGCACGGUCAGCAAUGGCAGUGGCGGACGGGUGAGUAACACGUAGGAAUCUAUCCCAGGGUGGGGGACAACAGCGGGAAACUGCUGCUAAUACCGCAUGAUACCUGAGGGUCAAAGGCGCGAGUCGCCUUGGGAGGAGCCUGCGUCUGAUUAGCUUGUUGGUGGGGUAAAGGCCUACCAAGGCGACGAUCAGUAGCUGGUCUGAGAGGAUGAUCAGCCACAUUGGGACUGAGACACGGCCCAAACUCCUACGGGAGGCAGCAGUGGGGAAUAUUGGACAAUGGGGGAAACCCUGAUCCAGCAAUGCCGCGUGUGUGAAGAAGGUCUUCGGAUUGUAAAGCACUUUUGGCAGGGACGAUGAUGACGGUACCUGCAGAAUAAGUCCCGGCUAACUUCGUGCCAGCAGCCGCGGUAAUACGAAGGGGGCUAGCGUUGCUCGGAAUGACUGGGCGUAAAGGGCGCGUAGGCGGCACAUACAGUCAGAAGUGAAAUUCCUGGGCUCAACCUGGGGGCUGCUUUUGAUACGUGUGAGCUAGAGUGGAGAAGAGGGUUGUGGAAUUUCCAGUGUAGAGGUGAAAUUCGUAGAUAUUGGAAAGAACACCGGUGGCGAAGGCGGCAACCUGGUCUUCUACUGACGCUGAGGCGCGAAAGCGUGGGGAGCAAACAGGAUUAGAUACCCUAGUAGUCC
rnacentral:rRNA from 1 species